CUUCCUCUUCAUCUUCCAGGCCAGCAGCUCGUAUAAACGGCAAACGAAUUUCGAAAUUUGAAAUUUAAAUUCAAAACUGCUCUUGAGUCCGACCGUUGAACCGCCUUAUAGCGGCAGUGCUGGCUAUGUAUAACUAUAAUCCCCUCCCAUUCCCAACGGCACAUUGCUUCUUGCAAACUCUAACACCCCCUAAUCACUCCCUCUCUCUCUCUCUCUCUCUCUCUCCGCCUCUCUGUGAAUAUCUGAUCCUAAACCCUAACCCCACUCUGUUGACUGCUGAUCGGAAACCCUAACCUCACUCUGUCAUUCUGUUGAGUUGAUUUGGUAUUGUGAGAAUGAAUUCGAAUUUGAAUCUUUUGUCGGAGGUCGCGGUGGUUCUCCGGAAUUGGGAGGAAGACAAAAGAUGGCUUUUUGACGAGUACUCUAUCGUUGCAGAUUUCAUCCGUUUCUGUGCUGCUGUGAAAUCGAAAUCGUUCCUGAUCGUUCCGAGGAAGAAACGGUCAUCUCUGAGAAGGAGGCCCAACAAGAAAACAAAUUUCGGGUUUCCGUUGGUCCCGGUCAUCAUUCCCAAGAAGAGGAGGUCUCUGAGAAGGAGGGCAGCCGCAUCUCUGGGGAUGACAUCCACAAAUCUGAAAAGGAAGCGGCUUUCUGGGUGUGAAUCUUCUACAAACAACGGUGCUGGGCAUGAAGGAUUUCUUCUUCGGAAGAAACAGAAGAUCGUUGAUCCGAUCCGUGGUGGUUGAGUUGUUCAAUUCUGACGACCCUUACUUUACCACAGCGAGAUAGGUUUGCUUGUUGGUUCAAUUUUAUAGCUUUAUUUUUGGAAGAAUUCAACUUCACCUACUAGAUUUUGCAUGAAACCCUAAUUUCCCCAAGUUUUUGAAUGUGGUCAAGGAUCCGGCAGUGAAGCACAUGGAUUGAAAAGAAACAGAUAAACCUUUAAUUCUGAUAUUUAUCAGGUUAUACAAUGUAGUAUAGAAUCUUCUCUAAUAACUCCACAUGGGUAGGCGUAGGAUGAUCUGCUGCACAGUCGAGUCGGUUUUAUUCUUCAAUGCAACUUCUUCGCAUCUAGAUUAUUGUACAUGCCUGAGUUUCGCGGCUGCUGAUAUUAUGGCCCUACUUUUAGAUGUCUCUUUUUUUAAAGCAAUGAUAGCUAUGAUAACUUGUCCGUUGCUAGAAUUGAGUCUUUUUGCGGGUGCUGAAUAUAGGGUGAAUUUUAUGUUUGUUUUUGGAAAUUAUUGUUUCAGCUGUGUACUUGAAUAAUUGAAUGAGUGAUUUGACUGUCCGAGUGUAUGUUUCUUGACAUUUAGCUUCUGUUUGUCAAGGCGCUGUUGUGUUCCAACUCUUGAAGAGACAGUGCCAUAUAUACCAAACAAAUAAGAGUCGGACAGUUUCACUGGGUUGGGUGGAAGUUGUAAAACUAAAAAGCAACCUGUAUUGAGCCUAUUGACCAAUGGCUGUGUUGUAGGACCAUGUAGACGGAAAGCGUAUGCAGUCAGAAUAGAUAUACAUCCUCUACAGGUUGCAAUGCUGGGAACAGUAACCGUCAAUCUGCCCACCAUUUACAGAAGUUGAGCUUUGCCGGGAACAUUUGGCCACUUUCUGGAAUUGAUUGGAGUGAUAAUGUAAUUGUAAGUUUUACAACAAAUCUAAUAGAUCGAACUAUUUCGUGAACUUAUGUGAUACUGAUUUAAGCUAUAGAUUUCAGCUCUUUUGGCUUUGGUUCUUGUAUUGGCAAUGUGGAAAGGUAAGCUUCCACUUUCUUGUUAUCUUUCUUCUAUUCUUGUUUCUAUGCAACUUCACGAAUUGUGAGUUUUGUUCAGUGCUAGUUGAUGUUGCAGGCGACAGAUGACAGUGAGUCUUUCGUCAUUUCCUUUUCCGGAAUCAAUAUGAUUUUCAUACACUAGUUUUGUCUGUGUCCAAUAAUUCGACUUGAUUUCUUACAAAAUUAUUCCUGCCUUGUUUCUUAGUAGAUUAUCUACAACAUUAUUACUCUAUUCAGGGACGAGAGGACAAGACUCAGUAGACAUAUCUGAUUAAUUACCUCAUUUAUUCUAUUACAGAAACAAACGACUCCCGAGACCACGCUGAUAAUAAUAGUUUCCAACUUCGCUUUUAUUGAAAUUGGUUUCUCUAAGAAUUUGUUUUAAUCUCUUAUCAUAAGUAUACAAAGUUUAAGAAUUUAAUUGUGUGUACAGUUGUGAUGCUGCAGAAUCGCUAAUGCUUCCUACCAGGUACAAUGUUUUAAACUUUAAAUUUUGUAUCUGCAGUUGUUUUUCAAUUGACGUGAUUUGUAAGCACAAUAUCCUAAUACAGUUUCCAAUUUUUCUUUUAUUAUAUAUGAAGAUAUAUGUUCAUUCCAUCUAGAAUUUCAAAUUUCAACAGCUGAGACUUUAUAACUUUAACUGGUAUUGAAGAAAGGUUUCUGAGAGAUUACCAAAUGUCCAACACAAUGGUAUCGAAUUUAUGCCUUGCAUUACGAUGGCUAUAGCCGUGUCUACUAGCGACAGUUAUUAUAUCCUGUUAUGCACCAUGUUCAUGUAUUUCGGUGAAGGAGAGUGGAAUUAGAAAUUAGGAAGUCAUAAUGCUGCGAAUCUGGAACAACCAAACGUGAAUACUCUCUUCAUUCAGACUACGAAGUAGAAUAAUUCAAUCCAGUUUUUCUUCUUAUUAUUAUUUCUGGCAGGAGAUAUGGCUCCAUCGCUCCUUAUUUCUUGAUCAUUCUAAAUCGAAAGUUAUAUCGUUCUAGGUGAUAUGAGACUAUAAUUGCUUAAUGUGACCUCAUCGUUCAUUUCAGCUUUGUCAAGUUCUGGGAUACCGAAGUUUGGAAAGUGUUUCCGUACAGACAUGCGUCAUCUGGAGUAAAUUGACAAGGUUAGUUUGAAGUGUAUGAUCAGUGGUGCUAAUUUACCACAGAUCAAGUGUCGUAAUGCAUGAAUGACCUAUUCAAUAAUGAAUAUGAAUUGAGCAUUUUUGUCCACCUCGGUGGUGUCAUGUAGCUGACCUCACUUAGUAGGAAAAGACUUUGUUGUUGUUGUUGUUGGUGGUGGUGUCAGGAUGUUUGCCAUUAGUUUAUAUCGUCGAAAGCCGCACAAAUUAGCAGGAAGUCAUCAACUAACUAAUUAUGCUUACACUUUAUAGUUUCAGUUUUUGGUCAGUCGGUUGUUAUAUAUGUCGCUACGAGUAGAGAAUAUGCUUUGGAUAUGGUUUAUGGUUUCAGUCUUCAAUCGCUGCCAUUGCUUUGUUGCUGAAAUAGCUGGAGAUCUAGUUAGUGUAUGUGCGUGUGAGACUAACUAUGUUUGCUUUUGUAGAUUGUGAGUAUUGAAUUAUUUUUGAGUUGAGCGAUAGCGUUACUGGGUUGUUGGGGCAAAGAGAAUUGGUGGGGAUUGAAUUUGCACCAGGAUGCAUAACCAUGAUUGCUUUCGGCCAUUGCGUUAAAGCACCACAUGCAGUGUGUUAAAGCGCCAUAUGCAAUAUAUACUGAAUGAUUGAUAGUUAUUGGUCCUCCUAUUUUCCCUCUUGUAAGUUUCAGCUUAUAACACUUCUUUUCAAUCA